AUCUCUAUGGUAAGGUUUAGGUUUUGUUGUCGAAUACAGUUACAUUAUUUUGCUUUUUUUUGUUGUUGUUGGUAUUUUAUUGGGAUGCAGAUAAAGAUCCAGAGUUAUGGUAACCAAGCUGAGAUCAAAGUGCAAAGGUUGUAAGAGAGACAAAGAGAGAAAGGCUUUAAAAAGGAUGAUCUGCAUUUUAUGUUGAGGAGAGCUUAGUGAAGCGAGUGCUAGGGUAUUGCAUCACAUCGCUUCAGCUCCAGAGGAAGGAAAUGUCAAACAACAAUUAUCUUGGUGUUGACUCCGCGUGGAACUGCGUAUCAGAUUCUGAAAACCCGACAUGUGCAGUCAUGAAGCACAAAUCCUUGUGGUGAGGCCUACCGGCUAGCUGUAAUAGCUGAUCCAGGUAGCACCUUUCGUGGUAUUGUAGCCGCCAAUGUCAAAGUAGACAAGGGAUUCUUCGCAACAAAAAGAAAAGACAUCUAUUGUGUUACUGAUCACAACCUCACCAUCUGUUUCACUCAGAAUAUUGUCCUCUCGGAGCUUCAGUACAACCCAGUUGUGAUC